rnacentral:rRNA from 1 species
GAAGGUGGGCUAAUCACGGUUGGACAUCGUGAGGUUAGUGCAAUGGCAUAAGCCCGCUUGACUGCGAGAAUGACAAUUCGAGCAGGUGCGAAAGCAGGUCAUAGUGAUCCGGUGGUUCUGAAUGGAAGGGCCAUCGCUCAACGGAUAAAAGGUACUCCGGGGAUAACAGGCUGAUACCGCCCAAGAGUUCAUAUCGACGGCGGUGUUUGGCACCUCGAUGUCGGCUCAUCACAUCCUGGGGCUGAAGUCGGUCCCAAGGGUAUGGCUGUUCGCCAUUUAAAGUGGUACGCGAGCUGGGUUUAGAACGUCGUGAGACAGUUCGGUCCCUAUCUGCCGUGGGCGUUGGAAGAUUGAAGGGGGCUGCUCCUAGUACGAGAGGACCGGAGUGGACGAACCUCUGGUGUUCGGGUUGUGUCGCCAGACGCAUUGCCCGGUAGCUAAGUUCGGAAUCGAUAACCGCUGAAAGCAUCUAAGCGGGAAGCGAGCCCUGAGAUGAGUCUUCCCUGAUACUUUAAGUAUCCUAAAGGGUUGUCGGAGACUACGACGUUGAUAGGUCAGGUGUGUAAGUGCUGUGAGGCAUUGAGCUAACUGAUACUAAUUGCCCGUGAGGCUUAACCAUACAACACCCAAGGGGUUU